UAGUGAUAUUGCUUUGUGUUUGCCUUUUUUUUCUUGCUUUUCGUGAAGUUCCUUUUCAGUGAUAUGGAAAUGUGAAGCUUUCUGUACAAGAAGGAUGGCUAUCCGUCUAUGGUUAGGGGUAGAGAACUUUUGAAGAGAAUCAAAUACACACACCACCAGCCUGCAUGCACAUAUCGCUCCCCAAAAAGCUCGGAAUUGCAGCUGUAGCAGUUCAGUACAUAUUUGAUCACAGUUGCACCAAGCAGUGGGUUGCCAGUACUGCCAAGGAGGUUGAGUUCUUCCUAGAAGAGCUCUGGUCAAGUCCAGUUGCCUCAUGGAUUCUAUCAAAGAGAACAGAUUAAACCCAGUGGUUAAAUAGAUUCUAAACUGAUGUCAAGUCUGCAUUAGAUGAGUGGAUCCUACCACAGAAAUCAGAGAGACUAAGCAGACUUUAUGAGAAUUCUACAUAUCAGUGGACCUAUUGCCCAGUUGCUUAGCAGAAUAUACCUAAGAGAAGCUACAUACUGAGACAUAAUGAGAGAUAAUUGGUAAUAUUGAGGAUAUAUUGAAAGAGAUCCAGCUCCAUCUAAGAUAUUGUUCUUGUUAACCUUCCUGUAUUACGUCAAGUUUCAUCAGUUCAAGUUUGUUUAAAAAAUAAAACCAUACUUUGGUUUAAUAGUUUGCGUUUUCUAUAAAAUAAUAUAUCGAAAUCAGAACUAUACAAGUUUUUAAGAAUUAAAGUAAGAAUCAAAUCCAGAAAGUUAAUGCUACUCUUACUAAAUAUGAUUUAAUUGUACUGUGAUUAAUUAAACUAAUAAGACUACUAAAAAGCUACAUAAAUAUUUUAUCAGCGUAAUGUUUUAUUAAUAAAAAGAUAAUACAAGUAAAAAGAACACAUUUUCAUUAAACAUUUACAGAUAUAUUUUAAUUUUUUCACAAAAUUAUAUUUACAGAUGGUAUGAGAAUAUGAAACACAUCAACAUCUC